rnacentral:rRNA from 1 species
UGGGGAAUCUUGCGCAAUGGGCGAAAGCCUGACGCAGCCAUGCCGCGUGGAUGAUGAAGGUCUUAGGAUUGUAAAAUCCUUUCACCGGUGAAGAUAAUGACUGUAGCCGGAGAAGAAGCCCCGGCUAACUUCGUGCCAGCAGCCGCGGUAAUACGAAGGGGGCUAGCGUUGCUCGGAAUUACUGGGCGUAAAGGGAGCGUAGGCGGACAUUUAAAGUCAGGGGUGAAAUCCCGAGGCUCAACCUCGGGAACUGCCUUUGAUACCUGGGGUGUCUUGAGUGUGAGAGAGGUAUGUGGAACUCCGAGUGUAGNGGUGAAAAUUCGUAGAUAUUCGGAAGAACACCAGUGGCGAAGGCGACAUACUGGCUCAUUACUGACGCUGAGGCUCGAAAGCGUGGGGAGCAAAACAGGAUUAGAUACCCUGGUAGUCCACGCCGUAAACGAUGAUUGCUA